GUCGGGGCCGGGCGCUGCGGGGCAGUGGCGUGAGAGUAUCAUUAAUCAUGUAUGGCAAAUACAUGAUUUCCUGAAGCAAAAAACCAGUUACACACGUGGAAAAUCGUGAAUUCCUUCUGGUCAUCUCCAGCAUAAUUGGUUUCAUACAUCCAUCAAAUCGGCCAUCCUGCAAAGACCUAGCCAACACAGGCAGCUGUGUUGUGAACAGGGGCCACACCGUGAUCCAUUGGCUCUCUUAGAUGGAUGUUUACAGCAACAGGGCUCUGGGUACAUGACAACCUACUAGCAGUAAGAAAACAACAUUGGAAAAAAUGCUCUCUCUGAAAACAAGGGACACAAACUCACUUCUCACUUGAAAAUGCAGGCUGUGCUCUUGCUGCUAACUUUCUGGCUGUGCUUCAAACAUUAACUGUUAUCAGUAGCAAUAGCUGAUGUUUAUUCUUCCUAAUUUCGCAUUGUUUAUCCACACUGAGCUUUCAAGCCAGCUCACUUUCCACUGAUUUCACUUCUCUCUACAGUAGCAUCAAACAGAAUUUAAAGUUGUCUUCAUAAAAAUUUUACAUGGCUGUAAUUGCUAGUGUUAGUCCUGUUAAUAUUUGCUCUUACUGAUGACUCAAAGAGUUAUGCACCCUCUGCUUACAGCCAUCAGGCAGUCCCACCAGUAUAAGAUGAGUCAUGCUAUGUAGCUAAUUUCUAGUUAGGUGUCUUUUGGGUCAUUUCUAUGGCUUUUGGGAACACUUCUUCCAGGAGGAAUGAAGUCUGACUUGGAAGGUGAG
ensembl:lncRNA